CUACAAUAGGCAUACAGGUAAUAAGUUUGUACCCAAGCAGACAUGUUGCAGCCAUAACAAUUAUCGAGUCUUACUGUAUAUAAGCAGGAUAAGAAACAUUUUAAUAUAAAAUAACCAUGAGUGGGUAAAAUAAGGCAAAACAAACAAAAACAUGUGAAACUAGAGCCUACAGAGAUGGAGAGAGCUAUGGGUUUAAAGGUGAUUAGUGAGAGCAGGAGAUUCAGCCCACGCCCGUCACGUAAUGGACACUGCCCCAGCAAGUAGAAAGACUAAAGACCCAUGCAUCUGCACCUUACCAGG